AGCAGUCGCCGCGGUAAUACGUAGGUGGCAAGCGUUGUCCGGAAUUAUUGGGCGUAAAGCGCGCGCAGGCGGAUAGGUCAGUCUGUCUUAAAAGUUCGGGGCUUAACCCCGUGAUGAGAUGGAAACUGCCAAUCUAGAGUAUCGGAGAGGAAAGUGGAAUUCCUAGUGUAGCGGUGAAAUGCGUAGAUAUUAGGAAGAACACCAGUGGCGAAGGCGACUUUCUGGACGAAAACUGACGCUGAGGCGCGAAAGCCAGGGGAGCGAACGGGAUUAGAUACCCCUGUAGUCCCUGUCUCUUAUACC
rnacentral:rRNA from 1 species